ACAGAUAGGUCACACAAAGUUAUCCUACGGCCGCAAUAUACACCGUUCUAGAUUCCCAGGGUUUCGUAAGAUUCACGAUCUUAGAUCAAGGGAAUGUUCGAACGGGUCAAGUCCAGGUGUUCUAACAGGAAAAUCAAUGCAACACGAAGGUAUGUAAACAAAAGUUCGAAUUUUCACACAACGAGCCUCACAAAGUGACUAUAUGACAGGUAAAGCACAAAAUCAACUACCAACUUGCAAUCAAAACUCAACACUUCACAAACAGAGCAAAUAAUUCCUAAAUUUUCUAGCACAAGCAAUGGUUGCCAAGCAAUGACAACCCCCAAUCCUAACGAUCACCCCACACGAUGAUCUGCUAAUGUUGAAAUUUAAAACUAAGUUAAGCCAAUAUACCAGAGCGGACUAUCUGAGUCUGUAAAUUAUGAGAGUUACGAAUUUAUCACUUUAGGACCACCACUAUUCGUCCUAAAGUCUCUGGAAACUGCAGCAACCAAAAAAUCACGAUCGAGUCCCGAACGCUCGAAGAACAACGCUGUCCAGAUUCUUCUGUGUACCCUGAAAUAGAAAACUUUCAACACAAAAAAUGUCAGAAAUAAUAUAAGGAACAAACUGCCUGAAGAGACUAUCGCCAAAAAACGAUCCACGCGCCCUCACGCGCGUCUCCUUCCCUCUGCGCGUGGGCCUCACGCGCCACCACACGUGCCGGUCUGCAGGGUUCCCCUCCUCCUGCACGUCACGCCAGUGGUCUCCGUUUCUCUAAACUCCUUCUGGAUUGAUCAGAAAACACGAAAAACAGAGACUGAUUUAAACAGUUUUUGGACAGUUUCUUCGAUCUGAUUUCUGCUGCGUUUCUGCCUAUUUUCUGGACGAUUUCUGGUAGAUUUCACGAGCCAAAACCUUCACCUUGNGGGCCCACAAGAACUUUUUGAAAAUGUAGCGACCGUUUUGGAUUGAACUCACCACUUCUUCAUGACGUACGUGGGAUUUUGGCAAUUUUUCGAAAGAAUGAGCACUUGCAUAUCUAGAACGCUUGGAGAGUCGACGGACGAAGAAUUGAGCGUAACUUUGGUACACGGUGUCCAUUUUGGGCCCACAAGAACUUUUUGGAAAUGUAGCGACCGUUUGGGAUUUAACUCACCACUUCAUCGUGACGUAUGAGGGAUUUCGUCCAUUUUUCAAAACAAUGAGCACUUGCAAUUUGGAACGAUUGGAUUGUCAGCGUACGAAGAAUUGAGCGUAACUUUUGCACACGGUGUCCGCUUUGGGCCCAUAAGAACUUUUUGGAAAUGUAGCGACCGUUUUGGAUUGAACUCACCACUUCAUCGUGACGUACGAGGGAUUUUGGCCAUUUUUUGAAAGAAUGAUCGCUUGUAUAUUUAGAACGCUUGGAGAGUCGGCGGACGAAGAAUUGAGCGUAACUUUGGCACACGGUGUCCGUUUUGGGCCCACAAGAACUUUUUGGAAAUGUAGCGACCGUUUUGGAUUGAACUCACCACUUCGUCGUGACGUAUGAGGAAUUUCGUCCAUUUUUCAAAAGAAUUAGCACUUGCAUAUUUGGAACGCUUGGAUUGUCGCCGUACGAAGAAUUGAGCGUAACUUUUGCACACGGUGUCCGUUUUGGGCCCAGAAUUUACUUUUUGGAAAUGUAGCGACCGUUUUAGAUUGAACUUACCACUUCUUCAUGAAGUACAAGGGAUUUUGCCAUUUUUUGAAAGAAUGAGCGCUUGUAUAUUUAGAGCGCUUUGAAAGUCGGCUGACGAGAAAUUGAGCGUAACUUUUGCACACGGUGCCCGUUUUGGGCCCAUAAGAACUUUUCGAAAAUGUAGCGACCGUUUUUGAUUGAACUCACCACUUCGUCGUGGCGUAGGUGGGAUUUUGGCGAUUUUUCAAAAGAAUGAGCACUUGCAUAUUUAGAACGCUUGGAGAGUCGGCGGACAAAGAAUUGAGCGUAACUUUGGCACACGGUGUCCGUUUUGGGCCCACAAGAACUUUUUGGAUAGUGUAGCGACCGUUUUGGAUUGAACUCACCACUUCAUCGUGACGCAUGAGGGAUUUCGUCCAUUUUUCGAAAGAAUGAGCACUUGCUUAUUUAGAACGAUUGGAUUGUCGUCGUACGAAGAAUUGAGCGUAACUUUUGCACACGGUGUCCGUUUUGGGCCCAUAAGCACUUUUUUGAAAUGUAGAGACCAUUUUGGAUUGAACACACAACUUCAUCGUGACGUAAGAGGGAUUUUGGCCAUUUUUGGAAAGAAUGAGCUCUUGCAUAUUUAGAACGCUUGGAGAGUCGACGAACGAAGAAUGGAGCGUAACUUUUGCACACGGUGUCCAUUUUGGGCCCACAAGAACUUUUUGGAAAUGUAGCGACUGUUUUGGAUUAAACUCACCACCUCGUCAUGACGUAUGAGGGAUUUCGACCAUUUUUUGAAGGAAUGAACACUUGCAUUUUUGGAACGCUUGGAUUGUCGGCGUACGAAGAAUUGAGCGUAACUUUGCACACGGUGACCGCUUUGGGCCCAUAAGUACUUUUUGGAAAUGUAGCGACUGUUUUGGAUUGAGCUCACCACUUCGUCGUAACGUACGAGGGAUUUUGGCCAUUUUUUGAAAGAAUGAGCGCUUGUCUAUUUAGAACGCUUGGAGAGUCGGCUGACGAAGAAUUGAGCGUAACUUUUGCACACGAUGUCCGUUUUGGGCUCAUAAGAACUUUUUGGAAAUGUAGCGAACGUUUUGGAUUGAACACACAAAUUCAUCGUGACGUACGAGGGAUUUUGGCCAUUUUUCAAAAGAAUGAGUACUUGCAUAUUUAGAACGCUUGGAGAGUCGGCGGAUAAAGAAUUGAGCGUAACUUUGGCACACUGUGUCCGUUUUGGGCCCACAAGAACUUUUUGAAAAUGUAGCGACCGUUUUGGAUUGAACUCACCACUUCUUCAUGACGUACGUGGGAUUUUGGCGAUUUUUCGAAAGAAUGAGCACUUGCAUAUCUAGAACGCUUGGAGAGUCGACGUACGAAGAAUUGAGCGUAACUUUGGCACACGAUGUCCGUUUUGGGCCCACAAGAACUUUUUGGAAAUGUAGCGACCGUUUGGGAUUUAACUCACCACUUCAUCGUGACGUAUGAGGGAUUUCGUCCAUUUUUCAAAAGAAUGAGCACUUGCAAUUUGGUACGAUUGGAUUGUCGACGUACGAAGAAUUGAGCGUAACUUUUGCAUACGGUGUCCGUUUUGGGCCCAUAAGAACUUUUUCGAAAUGUAGCGACAAUUUUGGAUUGACUCACCACUUCGUCGUGACGUAUGAGGGAUUUUGGCCAUUUUUUGAAAGAAUGAUCCCUUGUAUAUUUAGAUUGCUUGGAGAGUCGCCUGACGAAGAAUUAAACGUAACUUUUGCACACGGUGUCCGUUUGAAAAUAUAUCGACCGUUUUGGAUUGAACUCACCACUUCAUCGUGACGUACGUGAGAUUUUUCCAAUUUUUUGAAAGAAUGGGUACUUGCAUAUUUGGAACGAUUGGAUUGUCGGCGUACGAAGAAUUGAGCGUAACUUUUGCACACGGUGUCCGUUUUGGGCCCAUAAGUACUUUUUUGAAAUGUAGAGACCGUUUUGGAUUGAACACACAACUUCAUCGUGACGUAAGAGGGAUUUUGGCCAUUUUUCGAAAGAAUGAGCACUUGCAUAUUUAGAAUGCUUGGAGAGUCAGCGGACGAAGAAUGGAGCGUAACUUUUGCACAUGGUGUCCAUUUUGGGCCCACAAGAACUUUUUGGAUAUGUAACGACCGUUUUGGAUUGAACUCACCACCUCGUCAUGACGUAUGAGGGAUUUUUGACCAUUUUUCGAAGGAAUGAGCACUUGCAUUUUUGGAACGCUUGGAUUGUCGGCGUACGAAGAAUUGAGCGUAACUUUUGCACACGGUGUCCGUUUUGGGCCCAUAAGUACUUUUUUGAAAUGUAGAGACCGUUUUGGAUUGAACACACAACUUCAUCAUGACGUAAGAGGGAUUUUGGCCAUUUUUCGAAAGAAUGAGCACUUGCAUAUUUAGAAUGCUUGGAGAGUCAGCGGACGAAGAAUGGAGCGUAACUUUUGCACAUGGUGUCCAUUUUGGGCCCACAAGAACUUUUUGGAAAUGUAGCGACCGUUUUGGAUUGAACUCACCACCUCGUCAUGAUGUAUGAGGGAUUUUUGACCAUUUUUCGAAGGAAUGAGCACUUGCAUUUUUGGAACGCUUGGAUUGUCGGCGUACGAAGAAUUGAGCGUAACUUUUGCACACGGUGUCCGUUCAGACCAAUCAAUCGAAUAUUGGAAAAGCGAGAAGACGUGCCGUGGGGGACUGAGUUCAGGUUCGAAUUCGAUAGAAUAUUUUCUACAAUUCUUGGGCCCAUAAGUACUGUUUGGAAAUGUAACGACCGUUUAGGAUUGAACUCAUCACUUGGUCGUGACGUACGAGGGAUUUUGGCCACUUUUCGAAUGAAUGAGCGCUUGUAUAUUUAGAACGCUUCGAGAGUCGGCUGACGAAGAAUUGAGCGUAACUUUUGCACACGGUGUCCGUUUUGGGUCCAUAAGAACUUUUUUGAAAUGUAGCGUCCAUUUUGGAUUGAACUCACCACUUCGUCGUGACGUACGAGGGAUUUUGGCCAUUUUUUGAAAGAAUGAGCGCUUGUAUAUUUAGAACGCUUGGAGAGUCGGCUGACGAAGAAUUGAGCAUAACUUUUGCACACGGUGUCCGUUUUGCGCCCAUAAGAACUUUUCGGAAAUGUCGUAACCGUUUUUGAUUGAACUCACCACUGCGUCGUGACGCAUGAGGGAUUUCGUCCUUUUUCGAAAGAAUGAGCGCUUGCAUAUUUGGAACGCUUGGAUUGCCGGCGUACGAAGAAUUGAGCGUAACUUUUGCACACGUUGUCCGUUUUGGGCCCAUAAGUACUUUUUGGAAAUGUAGCGACUGUUUUGGAUUGAGCUCACCACUUCGUCGUGACGUACGAGGGAUUUUGGCCAUUUUUUGAAAGAAUGAGCGCUUGUAUAUUUAGAACGCUUGGAGAGUCGGCUGACGAAGAAUUGAGCGUAACUUUUGCACACGAUGUCCGUUUUGGGCUCAUAAGAACUUUUUGGAAAUGUAGCGAACGUUUUGGAUUGAACACACAAAUUCAUCGUGACGUACGAGGGAUUUUGGCCAUUUUUCAAAAGAAUGAGUACUUGCAUAUUUAGAACGCUUGGAGAGUCGGUGGACAAAGAAUUGAGCGUAACUUUGGCACACUGUGUCCGUUUUGGGCCCACAAGAACUUUUUGAAAAUGUAGCGACCGUUUUGGAUUGAACUCACCACUUCUUCAUGACGUACGUGGGAUUUUGGCGAUUUUUCGAAAGAAUGAGCACUUGCAUAUGUGGGUUUUUGGCAAUUUUUCGAAAGAAUGAGCACUUGCAUAUCUAGAACGCUUGGAGAGUCGACGGACGAAGAAUUGAGCGUAACUUUGGUACACGGUGUCCAUUUUGGGCCCACAAGAACUUUUUGGAAAUGUAGCGACCGUUUGGGAUUUAACUCACCACUUCAUCGUGACGUAUGAGGGAUUUCGUCCAUUUUUCAAAACAAUGAGCACUUGCAAUUUGGAACGAUUGGAUUGUCAGCGUACGAAGAAUUGAGCGUAACUUUUGCACACGGUGUCCGCUUUGGGCCCAUAAGAACUUUUUGGAAAUGUAGCGACCGUUUUAAUGUUCGAACGGGUCAAGUCCAGGUGUUCUAACAGGAAAAUCAAUGCAACACGAAGGUAUGUAAACAAAAGUUUGAAUUUCCACGCAACAAACCUCACACAGUGACUAUAUGAC
rnacentral:lncRNA from 1 species